rnacentral:rRNA from 1 species
CCUACGGGUGGCAGCAGUGGGGGAUAUUGCACAAUGGGGGAAACCCUGAUGCAGCGACGCCGCGUGUGGGAAGACGGUCUUCUGGAUUGUAAACCACUGUCCCCAGGGACGAAAAUGACGGUACCUGGGGAGGAAGCUCCGGCUAACUACGUGCCAGCAGCCGCGGUAAUACGUAGGGAGCAAGCGUUGUCCGGAAUUACUGGGUGUAAAGGGAGCGUAGGCGGGGAUGCAAGUUGGGUGUCAAAACUACCGGCUCAACCGAUAGUCGCACUCAAAACUGCAGCUCUUGAGUGAAGUAGAGGCAGGAGGAAUGCCUAGUGGAGCGGUGAAAUGCUUAGAUAUCACGAAGAACCCCGAUUGCGAAGGCAGCUUACUAAACUGUGACUGACAUUGAUGCUCGAAAGUGUGGGUAUCAAACAGGAUUAGAUACCCCGGUAGUC